ACGUAGGGGGCAAGCGUUAUCCGGAUUUACUGGGUGUAAAGGGAGCGUAGACGGUAACAUAAGUCAGAUGUGAAAGCCCGGGGCUCAACUCCGGGAUUGCAUUUGAAACUGUGUGACUAGAGUGCAGGAGAGGUAAGUGGAAUUCCUAGUGUAGCGGUGAAAUGCGUAGAUAUUAGGAGGAACACCAGUGGCGAAGGCGGCUUACUGGACUGUAACUGACGUUGAGGCUCGAAAGCGUGGGGAGCAAACAG
rnacentral:rRNA from 1 species